rnacentral:rRNA from 1 species
CUCAGGAUGAACGCUAGCGGCAGGCUUAACACAUGCAAGUCGAGGGCAGCAUAAACAUUGCUUGCAAUGUUGAUGGCGACCGGCGCACGGGUGCGUAACGCGUAUGUAACCUACCUCAAACAGGGGCAUAACACUGAGAAAUUGGUACUAAUUCCCCAUAACACUCUGGGAGGCAUCUCCUGGGGUUGAAAGUUCCGGCGGUUUGAGAUGGACAUGCGUUGUAUUAGCUAGUUGGUGAGGUAACGGCUCACCAAGGCGACGAUACAUAGGGGGACUGAGAGGUUAACCCCCCACAUUGGUACUGAGACACGGACCAAACUCCUACGGGAGGCAGCAGUGAGGAAUAUUGGUCAAUGGGCGAGAGCCUGAACCAGCCAAGUAGCGUGAAGGAAGACUGCCCUAUGGGUUGUAAACUUCUUUUGUUCGGGAAUAAAGUGCAGUACGCGUACUGUUUGUAUAUACCGUUCGAAUAAGCAUCGGCUAAUUCCGUG